CAGUCGCCGCGGUAAAACGUAAGUGGCAAGCGUUGUCCGGAAUUAUUGGGCGUAAAGGGCUCGCAGGCGGUUUCUUAAGUCUGAUGUGAAAGCCCCCGGCUCAACCGGGGAGGGUCAUUGGAAACUGGGAAACUUGAGUGCAGAAGAGGAGAGUGGAAUUCCACGUGUAGCGGUGAAAUGCGUAGAGAUGUGGAGGAACACCAGUGGCGAAGGCGACUCUCUGGUCUGUAACUGACGCUGAGGAGCGAAAGCGUGGGGAGCGAACAGGAUUAGAUACCCCGGUAGUCCCUGUCUCUUAUAA
rnacentral:rRNA from 1 species